rnacentral:lncRNA from 1 species
AGGUGUGGAGCUAUAUAUAUCUUAUCUUCAUUCCUCGUCACCCUUACUUUUAGCUGACUAGCCAAGCGAAAAUUAAAUAUAUUUUGUCUUGUUCACUAAAAAGUAACGGUGGUACACCAUAAUUAUAUGUGCCCACUUGACUAGGCAAUUUUAGCUGUAUAUAUAAUAUCUGCAAUUUCUAACUACUUUUAGCUCAUUAUUACAAAAAGCCUUCAUAACUUUAUAUCCACU